rnacentral:rRNA from 1 species
AAAUUGAAGAGUUUGAUCAUGGCUCAGAUUGAACGCUGGCGGCAGGCCUAACACAUGCAAGUCGAACGGUAACAGGAAGCGCUUGCUGCUUCGCUGACGAGUGGCGGACGGGUGAGUAAUGUCUGGGAAACUGCCUGAUGGAGGGGGAUAACUACUGGAAACGGUAGCUAAUACCGCAUAACGUCGCAAGACCAAAGAGGGGGACCUUCGGGCCUCUUG